GUUUCACAUCACAUUUAACAAAAAAAACACUAAUUUUGGAUUCACAUGCCAGGCGAAUGAUGGGAGCUUGUCUGAAAUCCGUUGGUGGCAUUUGGGCUCUAUGGUGAUACAAAAGUGUGCGCAAAUCUACAGGCUUUUCAUGAGCGGUCAUGGGUGGUAUCACGACUGUUAGAAACGGAUAGAAAUACAGCAGCCCGCUGUUGUCAAAUCAGCGGCGGCAAAGAGUAAGUCUGGUGGACAAAGCCAAUAUCCAUUGAAAGCUGCUCCUGAAGAAAGUUACGGUGUUUUUAUGGACUAUGGUCGAUUUUUAUGAUCCCAUUGGUCUACGUACUGAUGUGGGCCCAAGUGUGGAGGAACGGGCUAUUUUG